GCACCUGGUUCUGCUGCUCCAGGAACCGCACCUGGGACCCAAAGGUGGUCAUAGCCCAGAAUCCCCAUGCCAUUGCCUCUCAACAGUGGAGAGAAGGCCCCAGAAAUCAGACACAGUCAUCCUACGGUGGGAGGCAGGAAAGAGCGAGACUCAUCAAAGAAUGGACUCAGCCAGAGGGAUGUGCCCAUCUGGGUCUCUGAGUUGCGGAAGAGGAUGAUUCAUACCAUCCAAAGAACCCCUGAUCAGGACAUCUGCUGCUCUGACAUUUCUGAUUCUGGAUCAAAAUAUGACUGACUAUUAAGAACAAGUCGAGAAGAGCUGAGGAAGUCACCUCCAGUCUGAAAAAUUAAGAACUAAAUCCGCAAACUUCAUUCCAAAGAAGCUCAGGAGCAUCUUUUGUGAUCUAGCCCAAUUUCCUUUUUCCAACUUAAAUUGCCUUUAAUUCUCCUCUUCUGUCAGAAAGAGCCCUUUCCCAUACUGCUCUCCUGGUACCCGGGUGGUAUUUCUCAUCCGUCUGAGGACCGGGUGUGGGUCCCAUUUCCACCAUCAGAUUAACAGGUACCUGGAUUAACCCUUCCCUCCCUGCUCAGCCCUGGCCUCAGCACCAGGGACAUUCGGGAUGAGUGUGAAACAGACGGGUGCUUGGGACGAGGCUCAUUGCUGUGCCCUCGGUUAUACCCUGGGGACUGGGCUCCCCUUUUUGCCCUCGUGGGGUGACCAGAUGGCACCGGGAGGUAAUUGAGUGACACAGCCUCCACUGAACCAAUCACAGAGCGUAAUAACAGCCGAGGUGUUUACCCCACAGGGAACAAGGCUGUGGGGGCAUCGGUGAGGGAGAGAGAUGGCGCCAGCCACAGAUGAACAGAUAGAGUCUGGAAUGUCCUGGGUGGGAAGGGGGAUGGGCUCUCUAUGCUGCUUUUGGGGAGACACUAUAGCCCAUUCCCUCUGGAGAGGAAGGGGCAAUGUCAGUGAAGCUGGGUGACCAGAAGACCCCCCAAGAACCUCAAGGUUAUGGUCCCCAUCAUUUCAUGAGAUUGCUUCCUAUGCCCCAUACAUUUAGCCAGGUUUUAAUCCCCCACAAGCACCAGAGACAGUGCUUUAUUAACUCUGAUCAUUGAGAAUAGAAAAGUGGAAAAGCAUUUAAAUGGAAACAGGAGGGAUCCCUGGGUGGCGCAGCGGUUUGGCGCCUACCUUUGGCCCAGGGCGCGAUCCUGGAGACCCGGGAUCGAAUCCCACGUCGGGCUCCCGGUGCAUGGAGCCUGCUUCUCCCUCUGCCUGUGUCUCUGCCUCUCUCUCUCUCUCUAUGUGUGACUAUCAUAAAUAAAUAAAAAAAUUUAAAAAAUAAAUAAAUAAAU
rnacentral:lncRNA from 12 species